CACAAAAUUGAAGGCUCCUCUGAAAAAAUGAUGCAGAUUUACAUUAUUGCAAAGGCCCUGAGAAGCUUAACCACACCUGAAGCCUGACACUAUACAUCUUUUCAGCAGAGCAGCCAGCAUACCAUACCAAGAUGACACAGGUAAGUAUGCUUCCCACAGAGCAAUAAUAGAAAGACACCAGCAGCUGCUUGGAUAUGCUAGCCUUCCUCAGCAUCCUUAAGAAGUAGAGUCGCUUCUGUGACUUCUUCACCAAAGAUAAUGGGGUCUGGUUCUUUUUUCCAUUAAUUACUAAUGAGCUGGUCCAACACUGAAGUGGUUGCAGCCUUUCAUCAUUCAUUGUCAUCUGCCUGUUUUCUGGGGUGACGACCUGCGCCACCACCACCUGAUCAAAG